UGUUCAUUAAAUGUGGACUAGUAUGAACGGCAUCACGAGGGUUAUUCUGUCUCCCUCUUCCUAUCAAUGAAACUGAUCUGCCCGUGAAGAAGCGGACAUAAAAAUAUAAGACGAGAAGACCCCAUGGAGCUUUAAACUCAGAAACACCGCUGUAAACAAACCUUAAUAAUGAGCACCCUGAUUUCUAGUUUUCGGUUGGGGUGACCACGGAGAACAACAAAACCUCCAUGAUGAACGGACUUACCUCCUAAUCCAAGAGCAACAACUCUAAGAAUCAACACAUUGACAAAAAUGAUCCAAAAAUUUUGAUCAACGAACCAAGUUACCCUGGGGAUAACAGCGCAAUCCAUUUCAAGAGCUCUUAUCGA
rnacentral:rRNA from 1 species